CAAACACCCUAAUAGUUGUGCCAGAAACCCCAUCCAAGGACUGAGGAAUCUGGAUGCAGACAUCCAUGGCUAGGCCCCGAGUGGAGCGCCGGAAGUCUUUCUAUUUUUACAAAAUUUUAUUCUGUAUAUGAGCACAUGUGGAGGUCAAAAGACAACUUUGUUCAGUCUCAUUUCUUUUCACUCCACGUUUAAGAAAAUUCUGGGGAUUGAACUUAUGUGUCCAGAUUUGUGUAACAAGUCUUUACCUGCUCAGCCAUUUCAUAAGCCCCUGACUUGCAUUUGUAUACUAUUUUAAUUUUUGGUUUUUUUUCCUUUUUUAAUAUUUAUUUCAUUUUUUAUGUAUUUGUGUGUUUUUCCUGCAGGUAUGUUUGAUGUUUCAUGCAUGUGUUCCUGGUGCCUGAGGAGGCUGGAAGAGUGUGUUUGAACCUCAGUAUGGUGGCUAGGACUUAAACCCUCAUCCUCUACAAUAGAAGCCAGUGCUCCUAACUGCUGAUCCAACUCUCCAACUCACUUUUUCUUUCUUUGUUUGUUUGUUUUUGAAGAUAAUGUCUUACUAUGUAGCUGUGACUGUCCUGGAACUCGGUCUAUAGACCAAUCUCAAGAAGGGAGUAAGUACUGACUCCAGGAACCAGAGGACACUCUAGAGAACUCUGGUCACAGAAACACUUCAACUGUUGCUUCUGACUCUGCUUCCACUUCCACAUCUGUUGCUGUUGCUCCUGCUUCUGCUGUGUCUGCUUCUCGUGCUUCUGCUUCCUCUCCAGAGGCUACAGCCUCUUCUACAGCUGCUUCUGCUGCAUGCCUUUACAGUUGUUGUUACUGCUACUGUAGCACAAGAAGCCUAUCAUCAAGAACAAACUCCCAGCAAGAACCCCUUGUGAAGUAAUGGCCCAGAAGUUCAGGAAGUUACAUGACAACUUGUGAAAAUCCUAUAAUGGUUGGUGAGGCUCAGUUCCCUCCACAAAACGGUCAUAGGCCAUGGAGGCCAGGAAUAAGCCCUCAGAACCUGCCAUGGUCAGAAAGAAAAAGGAUUGCACUCCACAGCCCAGUAAGGUAAUGCUUUUCUGGCCAGAGAGGAAGUUGAAUGCCAUCUUGGGAACAGUGGUAGAAAUAUGCAUCAGGUCCAUGAGAGAGAGCUGACUGAGCAGAAAGUACAUGGUGGUGUGGAGCCUGGGAUCCACAGGAAUGAGGUGGAUCAUUGCUGAGUUGCCAAGCAAGGCCACAGAGAAUAUGGAGAUGAUGAGCAGCAAAAGCAAUAGGUCUGUGUGAUUUUGUGAGAACAAUCCUAAUAAAAUGAAACCACUUGAGCUCUGA